rnacentral:rRNA from 1 species
AGGACGAACGCUGGCGGCGUGCCUAACACAUGCAAGUCGAGCGGGACAUGCGACGGAUCGGAAGUUUCGGAUGGAAGAGAAGAUGUAUGUUCUAGCGGCGGACGGGUGAGUAACGCGUGAGCAACCUGUCCUUCACAGGGGGAUAACACAGCGAAAGUUGUACUAAUACCGCAUAAGACCACGUUGGGGCAUCCCAAAGGGGUCAAAGGAGCAAUCCGGUGAAGGGUGGGCUCGCGUCCGAUUAGAUAGUUGGUGAGGUAACGGCCCACCAAGUCGACGAUCGGUAGCCGACCUGAGAGGGUGAUCGGCCGCAUUGGGACUGAGACACGGCCCAAACUCCUACGGGAGGCAGCAGUGGGGAAUAUUGGGCAAUGGGGGGAAACCCUGACCCAGCAACGCCGCGUGAGGGAAGAAGGUUUUCGGAUCGUAAACCUCUGUCCUUGGUGAAGAGGAAGAGACGGUAGCCAAGGAGGAAGCCCCGGCUAACUACGUGCCAGCCGCCGC